rnacentral:snRNA from 1 species
AUACUUCCCUGGCGAAGGGGUUACCGUGAUCACGAAGGCGGUUUCCCCCAGGAUGAGGCCUUUAAAUUGCACUACGGUCGGGCUGACUCCUGCGAAUGCCCCAAAUGUGGGUAUCUCGGGCGCGUAAAUUUUUGGUAGCGCGGACUGCGUUUGCGCCGUCCCUA